rnacentral:rRNA from 1 species
CUGGCUCAGGACGAACGCUGGCGGCGUGCCUAAUACAUGCAAGUAGAACGCUGAAGAGAGGAGCUUGCUCUUCUUGGAUGAGUUGCGAACGGGUGAGUAACGCGUAGGUAACCUGCCUUGUAGCGGGGGAUAACUAUUGGAAACGAUAGCUAAUACCGCAUAACAAUGGAUGACACAUGUCAUUUAUUUGAAAGGGGCAAUUGCUCCACUACAAGAUGGACCUGCGUUGUAUUAGCUAGUAGGUGAGGUAACGGCUCACCUAGGCGACGAUACAUAGCCGACCUGAGAGGGUGAUCGGCCACACUGGGACUGAGACACGGCCCAGACUCCUACGGGAGGCAGCAGUAGGGAAUCUUCGGCAAUGGGGGCAACCCUGACCGAGCAACGCCGCGUGAGUGAAGAAGGUUUUCGGAUCGUAAAGCUCUGUUGUAAGUCAAGAACGAGUGUGAGAGUGGAAAGUUCACACUGUGACGGUAGCUUACCAGAAAGGGACGGCUAACUACGUGCCAGCAGCCGCGGUAAUACGUAGGUCCCGAGCGUUGUCCGGAUUUAUUGGGCGUAAAGCGAGCGCAGGCGGUUUGAUAAGUCUGAAGUUAAAGGCUGUGGCUCAACCAUAGUUCGCUUUGGAAACUGUCAAACUUGAGUGCAGAAGGGGAGAGUGGAAUUCCAUGUGUAGCGGUGAAAUGCGUAGAUAUAUGGAGGAACACCGGUGGCGAAAGCGGCUCUCUGGUCUGUAACUGACGCUGAGGCUCGAAAGCGUGGGGAGCGAACAGGAUUAGAUACCCUGGUAGUCCACGCCGUAAACGAUGAGUGCUAGGUGUUGGAUCCUUUCCGGGAUUCAGUGCCGCAGCUAACGCAUUAAGCACUCCGCCUGGGGAGUACGACCGCAAGGUUGAAACUCAAAGGAAUUGACGGGGGCCCGCACAAGCGGUGGAGCAUGUGGUUUAAUUCGAAGCAACGCGAAGAACCUUACCAGGUCUUGACAUCCCGAUGCUAUUUCUAGAGAUAGAAAGUUACUUCGGUACAUCGGUGACAGGUGGUGCAUGGUUGUCGUCAGCUCGUGUCGUGAGAUGUUGGGUUAAGUCCCGCAACGAGCGCAACCCCUAUUGUUAGUUGCCAUCAUUCAGUUGGGCACUCUAGCGAGACUGCCGGUAAUAAACCGGAGGAAGGUGGGGAUGACGUCAAAUCAUCAUGCCCCUUAUGACCUGGGCUACACACGUGCUACAAUGGUUGGUACAACGAGUUGCGAGUCGGUGACGGCAAGCUAAUCUCUUAAAGCCAAUCUCAGUUCGGAUUGUAGGCUGCAACUCGCCUACAUGAAGUCGGAAUCGCUAGUAAUCGCGGAUCAGCACGCCGCGGUGAAUACGUUCCCGGGCCUUGUACACACCGCCCGUCACACCACGAGAGUUUGUAACACCCGAAGUCGGUGAGGUAACCUUUUGGAGCCAGCCGCCUAAGGUGGGAUAGAUGAUUGGGGUAAAG